rnacentral:rRNA from 1 species
UGUGAGCUCGAUGAGUAGGGCGGGACACGUGGUAUCCUGUCUGAAUAUGGGGGGACCAUCCUCCAAGGCUAAAUACUCCUGACUGACCGAUAGUGAACCAGUACCGUGAGGGAAAGGCGAAAAGAACCCCGGCGAGGGGAGUGAAAAAGAACCUGAAACCGUGUACGUACAAGCAGUGGGAGCACGCUUAGGCGUGUGACUGCGUACCUUUUGUAUAAUGGGUCAGCGACUUAUAUUCUGUAGCAAGGUUAACCGAAUAGGGGAGCCGAAGGGAAACCGAGUCUUAACUGGGCGUUAAGUUGCAGGGUAUAGACCCGAAACCCGGUGAUCUAGCCAUGGGCAGGUUGAAGGUUGGGUAACACUAACUGGAGGACCGAACCGACUAAUGUUGAAAAAUUAGCGGAUGACUUGUGGCUGGGGGUGAAAGGCCAAUCAAACCGGGAGAUAGCUGGUUCUCCCCGAAAGCUAUUUAGGUAGCGCCUCGUGAAUUCAUCUCCGGGGGUAGAGCACUGUUUCGGCAAGGGGGUCAUCCCGACUUACCAACCCGAUGCAAACUGCGAAUACCGGAGAAUGUUAUCACGGGAGACACACGGCGGGUGCUAACGUCCGUCGUGAAGAGGGAAACAACCCAGACCGCCAGCUAAGGUCCCAAAGUCAUGGUUAAGUGGGAAACGAUGUGGGAAGGCCCAGACAGCCAGGAUGUUGGCUUAGAAGCAGCCAUCAUUUAAAGAAAGCGUAAUAGCUCACUGGUCGAGUCGGCCUGCGCGGAAGAUGUAACGGGGCUAAACCAUGCACCGAAGCUGCGGCAGCGACACUAUGUGUUGUUGGGUAGGGGAGCGUUCUGUAAGCCUGCGAAGGUGUGCUGUGAGGCAUGCUGGAGGUAUCAGAAGUGCAAAUGCUGACAUAAGUAACGAUAAAGCGGGUGAAAAGCCCGCUCGCCGGAAGACCAAGGGUUCCUGUCCAACGUUAAUCGGGGCAGGGUGAGUCGACCCCUAAGGCGAGGCCGAAAGGCGUAGUCGAUGGGAAACAGGUUAAUAUUCCUGUACUUGGUGUUACUGCGAAGGGGGGACGGAGAAGGCUAUGUUGGCCGGGCGACGGUUGUCCCGGUUUAAGCGUGUAGGCUGGUUUUCCAGGCAAAUCCGGAAAAUCAAGGCUGAGGCGUGAUGACGAGGCACUACGGUGCUGAAGCAACAAAUGCCCUGCUUCCAGGAAAAGCCUCUAAGCAUCAGGUAACAUCAAAUCGUACCCCAAACCGACACAGGUGGUCAGGUAGAGAAUACCAAGGCGCUUGAGAGAACUCGGGUGAAGGAACUAGGCAAAAUGGUGCCGUAACUUCGGGAGAAGGCACGCUGAUAUGUAGGUGA